UACCGGCGGCUCGAGUGGUGGCCACUAUUACUGGGCUUAAAGCGUUCGUAGCUGGGUUGUUAAGUCUCUUGGGAAAUCUACCGGCUUAACCGAUAGGCGUCCAAGGGAUACUGGCAAUCUAGGGACCGGGAGAGGUGAGGGGUACUUCAGGGGUAGGAGUGAAAUCCUGUAAUCCUUGGGGGACCACCUGUGGCGUAGGCGCCUCACCAGAACGGCUCCGACAGUGAGGGACGAAAGCUGGGGGAGCAAA
rnacentral:rRNA from 1 species